rnacentral:rRNA from 1 species
AGCGUAGAUGGAUGUUUAAGUCAGUUGUGAAAGUUUGCGGCUCAACCGUAAAAUUGCAGUUGAUACUGGAUAUCUUGAGUGCAGUUGAGGCAGGCGGAAUUCGUGGUGUAGCGGUGAAAUGCUUAGAUAUCACGAAGAACUCCGAUUGCGAAGGCAGCCUGCUAAGCUGCAACUGACAAUUGAGGCUCGAAAUGUGAGUAUCAAACA